AAGAUUUGAAACAUGUAAUUCUAGAGGUUAUGUGUAUCCCAAUCAACGUUAAUGAUAACACGUGUCUUGAAAUGAGUAUGCAUUAAAACGGAAAUAUAAUAUGGAUAUAAGCAGACAGGAAAGUACGCACGUGAACAACCAUUAAAUUAAUUCCUUCAAGUAUUACGAUUUCCUUUGGAUAUCUGAAUCCUUCAUAGACACAUGCUUUCGACGCCAAUCCUUAAAAUAUUAAAAAAAACAAAAAUAAAUUUUACAUCAAAAUACAACAAAACUUCUCUAAUUUGGAACCUUUCUUUUUAGGAGGUUUUUCACUUUUUUCAGAAGGUUUUUCUUUAGGUACUGGUGUUGCACUAGCAGCUGGUUGUGUAUAGUCUCUGGUUACAUGAGGUGGCAUUUCAGAUUCGUGGACACUCAAAGAAUUCUGAAUUGACGGAGCAGCUGGAGGAUCUGGUGACCCAUCACCAAGGGCGGGUACAGAAGCCGAAGGCAAAGGUGAGCUUCUUGAGUAAGUAGGUCGUUUCGGUGAAACUUGAGGUGUAGGAGUUAAAUUGGCGUAGUUAGGUUGGUUCAAAUUCACAGUGGAAUCAUUGGCAUCCGAUUGAGGAAUAUCUGACUCCUGCUCAUCUUCAGUAUUGGUGGAAGUAAAACGUGGAAAUGGACUCCCAGUAUUCGGUUGAGGUUGAAAAGAACGCAUUGAUUGAGAAAUGGCUUCCGAAGAUGCUGUACUAGCGUUGUCUUCAGAAUGAGUGUCUACAUCAUAUACAAUAGGAGAAUCACUCCUCGAAAUGCGAUUCGGUGUUGAUUGCGUCUGCGCGCCAACCUGGAAAGGUCGAUCUGCAUCAUUGUAGGAAGAUUGAAAAGACGAUUUACGAGAUUCAGAAUCGGUUUCUGCAACCUUCUUGGGAUUUUGAGAAGGCGAAUAAGUAACGGCGGCUUUGAGAGACUCAUAUUCAACUGAAGAAGCAGGUACGGGAGACGACAUAUCUGGCACAGAUACAGGUCGAGCCUUCGCGGAAGAAGAAGAAGAAGCUGGCGUUUCAUUGGCAGGUGGUGAAUAUGGCUGCAACGGCCAAGCAGAAUUCUUAACGUUUAAUUUUGGCAACGUUAUGUCCUUUGGCGGAUUUUCCAAAUGCGACACAGCGCGCAUCGUAUUUUUGGAUAACUGAGCAAUGGAUCGUUCCAAGCGUCCCAUAGUAAAAUUCAACCUAGAAUCCAAGGUCGAAGUAUCAAUUAAUGCUGGAGAUGCGCUUUUUGUCCUAUAAGAGUAUCUUCCCGGACGAGAUGAGUCCUGUGAUGCUUCCAAUAUUCUCCUUCGGCGCUCACUUCCAAUGUCAAAGGUUCGAAAAUUACUAUUAAAAGAUGAUCUAGCUCCCUUGGCUGUUUCAGAGGGAGAUCCUUCAAUGCUAAUAUCCUCUGACGUUGAACCAUUGGCACUUCUUUUUGGAGAUUUAGACGCGCUUCUCUUUACAUUAAACCCAGAAAACGUAUUGGGAGAAAAAGACUUGUGGUAAUUACUUGGAAUAUAAAUACUACCUGCUGUAACAGGACGAGCAUAUCGAUUUACGUAUGCAUCUCCGUCUGGAUCUAGUACACUUGAACCAGUAUCUUGCUUGCUGCUUGGCAAUGGUAAAGAAAGACCUCGUUCAAAACUAUCGGUAUUAUUUCUCCGGAUAGCAGGAGUAGAAGGAGCACUUGUACCUACAUUUCUAUUAUCGAAUUGAAAUCCGACGGUAGUGUUUGGUCGAGGUUUUUUUGAUAUCUAAUCAUUAAUGCCAGCAAGCUGAACCCUUAACUAGUGAAAAGGGGGCAGCCCAAGCAACACUUGUUAGCAAAUCAUUAUUUCAAACAGGCAAGAUAGGGUAGUACUCGGAAAGAAAGGCUCCAUUCAACAAAUUGAACAGCUGCAAUUUGCGUACAGGUGCAACUUUCAUGUCUUACAUAAAGAAUAAGAGAAACUACCUCUGAUCUUCUUAAAAAAUUAGCAUACCUCGGAUGUCUCAGGUCUCCAAAAAGAAGGAAUAGCAGGGCUUUCAGAUAAAGCCGACAUGCAAUCAAAUAAAAGAAAAAGAUCAAUUAGAGCCAAAAAAGAGAGUAAAAAGAAUAUCCAAAACUGGGAAUUGGGAAACCGGUGUUUGGCUAACAAUUAGUAGUACGCGGAUCGCGACGCUAAUUUCCUCAGUUGAGCUGGUAUCGUGUUAAAUAUUUUGUAAAAGAAUAUUUCCCUCUUUUUAGUAAUGUUCAUGGAACAAUUGGUGAAAAACAUAAUAUUAAAAGGUCACAAGAAAAUUUUUAUAGCUAAAAUAUUCUUUUAAAAAUAAUUCGAGCAAGUUCUCAGGCAGGUGUAGGAAAUAGAUGGAUAUUUAAUAGAAAUUACCCUUGAGAGCAAAUAGAGCUGAUUCCUUUAUCCAUGUAAGAUGGAAACAUAACUUUUGACGUCCCCAAGAACAUGCACUCUUAGAUAGGUAAGCACAUCAGUGAUGGAGUAAGUGUUGAUAUAUCCAGGUAUUGCAGACGAGUAACAAUAAUGAAAGUUGAAAUGGAGAAUUGUUUACAGCAUGAUAUCCUGUUCUUCAAUUUUUAUGCAAUUUGAGUCCCCAACAAUUGAAUCGAUCAAAUGGGAGAACCCACUAAAUUAUUGAAGAGUAUUUUGAAAAAAUAGUUGAGGUAUAAAAUACCCAAGAAUUCAACCAUUAAACGAUAAAAUCAACCGAGAAUGCGCUUUUGCUGAUAUGAAUUUAUAUG